CAUGACUCAAAUGAUGAAGAGGUCGUUGGCAUCAUGAAGAAUAUGCUUUUCAAUAUCAUUCACGGCGUUCCCGUCAAAUUUCAUGAUUUCUUCUUGAGGACUCUGGCGAAUAUUUCUAUGUCACCAUUUGAGCUGAAGCCUUAUGCACCAUGGAUUAUGAGAUUCAUCAGGACAAGGGCUUCACUAAAUUACAAAGCUGACACUUUGAACCAUGGCGGCUACUUGCCUCCGAUUGAAGUCCUCAAACGGACAUAUUCCUCAGCUGAUGACAAAGGCAAGGCAACUGUUGUGAUAGAUGAAGGCAUUCGUCCAUUGGAUGGUCAAUUUCGCAAGGCUGCAUCCUACUCCACCAAUGAUGACUCUGCCACACAUGACUCUGCCGCCAAGCAAAAUCCUCAAGCCACAACACCCAGGGUGAUGACUGAUCGUGAGUUACUC
rnacentral:rRNA from 1 species